rnacentral:rRNA from 1 species
ACUGCUCAGUAACACGUAGUCAACAUGCCCAGGGGACGUGGAUAACCUCGGGAAACUGAGGAUAAACCGCGAUAGGCCAUAAUUCCUGGAAUGGUUUAUGACUGAAACCUAUAUGGCCCCUGGAUUGGACUGCGGCCGAUCAGGCUGUUGGUGAGGUAAUGACCCACCAAACCUGUAACCGGUACGGGCUCUGAGAGGAGAAGCCCGGAGAUGGGCACUGAGACAAGGGCCCAGGCCCUAUGGGGCGCAGCAGGCGCGAAACCUCUGCAAUAGGCGAAAGCCUGACAGGGUUACUCUGAGUGGUUCCCGCUAAGGGGAUCUUUUGGCACCUCUAAAAAUGGUGCAGAAUAAGGGGUGGGCAAGCCUGGUGUCAGCCGCCGCGGUAAUACCAGCACCCCGAGUGGUCGGGACGAUUAUUGGGCCUAAAGCAUCCGUAGCCGGUCA